rnacentral:rRNA from 1 species
AUUGAACGCUGGCGGCAGGCUUAACACAUGCAAGUCGAACGAGGGGCGGACGGGUGAGUAAUGCGUGGGAAUCUGGCUUAUGGAGGGGGAUAACGACGGGAAGCUGUCGCUAAUACCGCGUACCAUAGGAAGAGCCCAAGUGGGAUGGGGUAGUUGGGGGGGUAAAGGCCUCCCAAGCUGACGAUCUCUAGCUGGUCUGAGAGGAUGACCAGCCACAGCGGGACUGAGACACGGCCCGGACUCCUACGGGAGGCAGCAGUGGGGAAAAUUGCGGAAUGGGGGCAGACCUGACGCAGCCAUGCCGGGUGAAUGAAGAAGGCCUUCGGGUUGUAAAGUUCUUUCGGUAUUGAGGCGUUAAAUACAGCAGAAGCACCGGCUAACUCCGUGCGAGCAGCCGCGGUAAUUC